rnacentral:rRNA from 1 species
UACGGGGGUAAGCGUUGUUCGGAAUUACUGGGCGUAAAGGGCUCGUAGGCGGCCAACUAAGUCAUACGUGAAAUCCCUCAGCUUUAACUGGGGAACUGCGUGUGAUACUGGGAUGGCUUGGGAUUUGGGAGAGGGAUGCGGAAUUCCAGGUGUAGCGGUGAAAUGCGGUAGAUAUCUGGAGGAACACCGGUGGCGAAGGCGGCAUCCUGGACCAAUAUUGACGCUGAGGAGCGAAAGCGUGGGGAGCGAACAGGA